CCUACGGGUGGCAGCAGUGAGGAAUAUUGGUCAAUGGACGAGAGUCUGAACCAGCCAAGUAGCGUGAAUGAUGACUGCCCUAUGGGUUGUAAACUUCUUUUAUAUGGGAAUAAAAUGUUCCACGUGUGGGAUUUUGUAUGUACCAUAUGAAUAAGGAUCGGCUAACUCCGUGCCAGCAGCCGCGGUAAUACGGAGGAUCCGAGCGUUAUCCGGAUUUAUUGGGUUUAAAGGGAGCGUAGGUGGAUUGUUAAGUCAGUUGUGAAAGUUUGCGGCUCAACCGUAAAAUUGCAGUUGAAACUGGCAGUCUUGAGUACAGUAGAGGUGGGCGGAAUUCGUGGUGUAGCGGUGAAAUGCUUAGAUAUCACGAAGAACUCCGAUUGCGAAGGCAGUUCACUGGACUGCAACUGACACUGAGGCUCGAAAGUGUGGGUAUCAAACAGGAUUAGAUACCCGAGUAGUC
rnacentral:rRNA from 1 species